rnacentral:lncRNA from 1 species
GGAACUUAUUUAUCAGAGCAUCACUAAGAGCUUUUCUGUAAGAGUGAUUGCCAUUUAUUUGAGAAUGUAUGAAUGAAAGACUUAAGAAUACAUCUGACCCAGGCAGCCUGGGUUCAACUCUCCAUGUGAGAAUACCAAGCUUGGCUGGGCACAGUGCCUCACAUCUGUAAUCCCAACACUUUGAGAGGCUGCGGCAGGAAGAUUACUUGAAGCCAAGAGCUGGCGAACAACCUGGGCAACAAAGAAAAGGGACACACUGCAAUCCUGGAGGAGCCGCUCUGUGGAUGCAUAUGAAAAAUGGAAUCAUAGAUGCGCAAGGGAUUGAAUGGCGAACACAGAUGUGGCCCACAAAGAUCCUUAACAACUGCU